GGAGAGAUGGUCGAGCUGGCUUAAGGCACCGGUCUUGAAAACCGGCGUACCUUUGCGGGUACCGUGGGUUCAAAUCCCACUCUCUCCG
rnacentral:tRNA from 1 species